AGUUCAUACUUAAGGAAUUCAAUCUGAAUGAACCCAGGAGAGGGCAAGGGAUAGUCAUUUGCACUCGGUUUUCAGAAGCUAUAAGUGAAUACUAUCAAAAGGCGAUCCCUAUGACUUGGUCAUUACUGAAAAGGCAACAAAAUUGAAGACUGUCUUCUCAUAAUUAGAUACGUCCAUACAUGGAAUUGAAAUGGCCUCUUUCUACCUGCUGUGCGCAUGGGACCUCUACACCUGUUCAGUCAUGAAACCACUAAUGAGACCUCACCUGUCCUAUUCAGGAUUUUGACGGAAUAUGAAAUCUCAUUACCCGGAGUCAAUGAAUGACAUCUGUUCCCCAUCCCCCUCCUGAAGCCAUCAUUCCAUUUGCUUGGUGCUGUGAAAAAGAUGCGCCACUCAGAGAAGAAAUUAGAGUCCAGAAGAGAAGGUGGCGCUCCCUUGUCCAGCCAGACGGCAGCUACCGGGCUUCUCAAUAUUCUGGCCCCCAUUUAGACCUUUGCCCUAAAAGAAUUAACACAAAAGAAACUUCAUUGUUUCCGACUUAAAAAAAAUUCUG
rnacentral:lncRNA from 10 species